CUCUUCGGGGAUGAUUAAACCGGCGCACGGGUGAGUAACACGUGAGUGACCUGCCUUUUAGACUGGAACAACUUACCGAAAGGUGAGCUAAUGCCGGAUGAGUUAUAUAAGUGCAUGUUUAUAUAGGAAAAGUUGGGGAGACCUGACGCUGAAAGAUGGACUCGCGUCCCAUUAGCUAGUUGGUAGGGUAAUGGCCUACCAAGGCGACGAUGGGUAGCCGGCCUGAGAGGGUGGCCGGCCACACUGGGACUGAGACACGGCCCAGACUCCUACGGGAGGCAGCAGUGGGGAAUUUUGCGCAAUGCUCGUAAGAGUGACGCAGCGACGCCGCGUGAAUGACGAAGGCCUUCGGGUCGUAAAGUUCUUUCGACAGGGAAGAAAAUGCCUAUAAGUAACUGUGUAUGUAUUGACGGUACCUGUAUAAGCAGCCCCGGCUAACUCCGUGCCAGCAGCCGCGGUAAUACGGAGGGGGCGAGCGUUGUUCGGAGUGACUGGGCGUAAAGAGCACGUAGGCGGUGUUGUAAGUCAUUAGUCAAAGACUAGAGCUCAACUUUGGUAAGGCUAGUGAUACUAUAAUACUAGAGUAUCAGAGAGGAUUGCAGAAUUCCUGGUGUAGCGGUGAAAUGCGUAGAUAUCAGGAGGAAUACCGUUAGCGAAGGCGGCAAUCUGGCUGGAAACUGACGCUGAGGUGCGAAAGCGUGGGUAGCAAACAGGAUUAGAUACCCUGGUAGUCCACGCUGUAAACGAUGGAUGCUAGGUGUUGGGCUUUUAAGUUCAGUGCCGCAGCAAACGCGAUAAGCAUCCCGCCUGGGGAGUACGUUUGCAAGAAUGAAACUC
rnacentral:rRNA from 1 species